rnacentral:lncRNA from 13 species
UUGUUUUGUGGCCACGCGCUGAGGGAUUAGCUAUUUAAAGACGCAGAGUCGACAGUGGAAAAUUUCCAUGCCCUUGUUGUAUCAAUGAGAGAAUGAUAGACGCUCUACCAGGGACAAGACAGGUUGCAUUUACAGCAUCAGUGGUCAGAGGAAUGAGCUCUGACUGCCUCGUGACAUCAAACCAGAAGAUCAGACAUCAAAAAGCAAAUGAUACCAUUUUUUAGAGAACUCCAACUAAACCUACUCACAAAACAAGUUCAUACCAUUUUUAUAUUUUAUUUACAGACUGGCUCCUCGAGCUGCUGCGCCCAUGGGUGUGAAGGUUCUCCAGUGUUUUCCCUGGUACAGGAGGUGUAAAGACAGAGGCAAGGGCAGACACUGCCCCCCUAAAGCAGUUCCAUACAUUGAAGCGGAGCCCCAGUUUGCCCCGACAACCUAUGCCAGCGCUGGAGGAGGAGUUGUCUACUUUUCCCACAAGGCAAGAGUGGCCUACAGACAUCAGAUGGAAGGCAACGUUAUAGAUACCACCUACUGA